rnacentral:misc_RNA from 1 species
GUAGGUGAACCUGCGGAAGGAUCAUUAAAGAGUCAAGGCCCCUCGCGGGGCCGAACCUCCAACCCUCUGUCGUCCGAACCAAGUUGCUUCGGCGGAAGAGAGCUGCCAGGGCCUUCAUGCCAGGGCGGGCUCCGCCGUCGGAGGCCAAACCAACUCUUGCGUGAACAUUUGCGUCCGAGUAAACACACAACCAAACAAAAACUUUCAACAACGGAUCUCUUGGUUCUG